rnacentral:pre_miRNA from 14 species
ACUGCCCUCGUGGCCAGCAGUCGGUUUUCACCUUGAUCUGAGAGCUAAACAUAAUGCUUAUCUGAGAUCAUCGUGAAAGCUAGUUGCAGGUACACAGGCUC